rnacentral:lncRNA from 1 species
AUUUGAAAACCCAACGACACCACACAGAACUCAAAACAAAAAUCCAAAAGUGAAUGAACCAGGAAAACUCAAAUACUAACAGAUUCAGCUCAUUUCCAGCCUCUAAUCAUAAAAUAACUGUCUCAACAUCAAUGUUAGAAGACUUUCCUGAAAUGUUUUCAAUAGAACAAGACUAAGCUUUGUUUAUUUGUAGUUUUUAGCCUGUCCUUUCGAGGUUACUAGGAUUGUAUUUUUGUUUAUAAUUCCUUAACCCUGAGAUUUUUUC